UUGUUGAAGAAAGGAGGAGGAGAGGGAGAGGGUGAAACUUAGAUGCUAAAUAAAGUGGCAAAAUUUUCUCCUCCUUCUCCCUCUCCCUCUCCUCCUUUUAGUAAAGA
rnacentral:miRNA from 1 species